GCAUGAGAGGUAGAUGGGGGAGUAAUGGUUACGGGAUACCUCGACACCAUUGGGCAAACUCAUUGUUCGGAUUGAGACAAUGAUCUGCUGGGUCUUGUUAGAAGAAGGGUCUGUGCUUGGGACCUUCUGAUAGAUCUGGAAAGAGAGAAACCCACACAAGUCUGAACUCCAGGCACCA